AUGGCUGUGUCGAUCUUAUCCACCUCAUCCAAAAAAUGGGAUGUCAUUAUAAAGCUCGACCAAUUAUCCGAUGACACCGCUUGUAAAUCUUUAUCCAGAUAAUCAAUUUAAAGAUGCUUGAUGAAGUCAAGAAGGAGAUGCACCUGGGCAAUGGACUUGUACUUCUUGAAGCCCGCAAAGAACGCUGCCUUGAAAGCUUGGGCUAUAAUCUUAGCCUCUUUUUUCUCU
rnacentral:lncRNA from 1 species